GAGCUGAAGUAGCUGAUGGGAAAGCAGCGGAGUUCCAAUCAUCCUCCGUAGAUUCGGGUUCGAGUCCCGAACCAGCUCA
rnacentral:tRNA from 1 species